AUUGAACGCUGGCGGCAUGCCUUACACAUGCAAGUCGAACGGCAGCACGGGAGCAAUCCUGGUGGCGAGUGACGAACGGGUGAGUAAUAUAUCGGAACGUGCCCAGUCGUGGGGGAUAACGUAGCGAAAGCUACGCUAAUACCGCAUACGAUCUAUGGAUGAAAGCGGGGGAUCGCAAGACCUCGCGCGAUUGGAGCGGCCGAUAUCAGAUUAGGUAGUUGGUGAGGUAAAGGCUCACCAAGCCGACGAUCUGUAGCUGGUCUGAGAGGACGACCAGCCACACUGGGACUGAGACACGGCCCAGACUCCGGCGGGAGGCAGCAGUGGGGAAUUUUGGACAGUGGGCGCGAGCCUGAUCCAGCAAUGCCGCGUGCAGGAUGAAGGCCUUCGGGUUGUAAACUGCUUUUGUACGGAACGAAACGGUGAGCUCUAAUACAGUUUGCUAAUGACGGUACCGUAAGAAUAAGCACCGGCUAACUACGUGCCAGCCGCCGCGGUAA
rnacentral:rRNA from 1 species